ensembl:lncRNA
CAAGCCAAGUGAGCUGCUCUGGAGAUCUGAUCCCAUGAAAGCCUAAGCAGGAAUAAAUAGCUCUGUUUUCAAAGCAGGCUGAGGAGUGUACAGUAAAUACGGGCUGGGCACACAGCAUGGUGUAAACAAACAGCUCAUCUUCUGCACAGCAGAGGGGGAAAACCGUGGGCAAUCCUGUGGCUGGAGAUGGUAUCAGAGUAAUUUGGCGCCGGGAGACAAAUUACAGUUGACAUGGCACUGCGUAUCGCCCAGACAUUGCAGCUCCCUCUGACCUAGAAGGAGAGGCACGUCAGAUUACUUCAUGCAACAAGACCUGACCAGGCACAUUUCCGCAACGUUCUCUGCAGCAGAUGAUCUCAGGAGCCUGGCAUUUUACCUGUCCUCAACUCCCUCCUUCGGUGCAGAUCAUUGGAACACAGAAGCUUCACUGACUGCAUCUUGGUCAGCAACUGAUUUGCUCUGAUAGGUACCAGAGCACCUUGGAAUAUCAAUUUCACAUGAGUAAACUGAUCUGAAGACUAUUAAAAGAUUGGCUGGCAUUUGGGCAAACAAGACAGAUAUUUUUUCCUCGUGUGAGUCAUCUUUUUAUUUGACCAGUCAGACGACUUUGGGAUAGCAGGCAAAAUAUUUCUGAAGAACGCAUUUGUUUUAAUCAAAAGAGCAUCGCUGUUGAUUACACCUGUUUUCAAAAUGCUGAGUUUUCCAGUUAGGAGCAAGCACAGUGAUGUAAUUAUUUUACAGCUUAACUAUGAAUUGCAAGCGACAAGAAGCAAGGGAUUUCUAAACAUCAGAUGAAACAAGAAGCUAGUGUCUGAAUCAUCAGUAGAAUGCUUGCAAACAAUGAAUCAAUGGAGGAAAGAUAGAGGCCAUGGUGUAUACUCAAAGGGGAAGAAAUUCAUCAAUAAAAUAGCACGAACAACUGUUACUGUAAACAACAUUUUAAGCUUGAGCUCUGUCAGAGAAGGCUUCUCAGAUAAAUAUUUUAAAGCAAUUGGUGAUGUUACUCAAAGAGGGUCCCAGUCCUACAAAGACCUGAGCAAUUAUCAGCAUUUUUUGAGAGCAUAACCUCAUUUCCAGGGCACGGCUGAGAACAGACAGGCAAUGAUGGAGAUGGAAUCACGCAUGCAGAAUCACAGAAUUAUAGGGGCUGGAAGGGACCUCUAGAGAUCAUCGAGUCUAACCCCCCUGCCAAAGGAAUGAUGUGCUCAAGCUGUGUGCGUGCAUCCUGAUGGCAAGAGUGGUGAAGGAAUCCCAGCCCUUUUCCCAGGAUCUCUCAUCACACGUUUUUGCUGGGAUUACACAAUGCUGGACCGUUCGUCCCUAGAGGAAAACAGGGAACCAGAACAACCACGGAAAAAAUCUGAUCCCACUGGGAGCUCCCAAUGAAAAGCAUUUGAACUGAGCUCUGAAAAUGACGUGGAAAGACUCAUUAGAGUCUGGUGUUACUUAACUCAAGUUUAUAAAGCAGUGUGAAGGUGAAGGGGUUUGUGUCCUUCGGAAAGGAGAGCUUCUAUGGAAAACGUUCAUUACCCCUUGCCACUUGGCAUCAGAUCAAAUCUGACGUGAACCACUGCAUCAAUAAAUGCUCUGAAACUAAAGGGGGGUGCUACUGACAUUAAGAGAAAAGAACAGGACACCGGCUGAAUUCUGUCCUGGUACAUCUAACAGAAAGGGAGCAGCGACCCAACGUUACCAAAGAUGCAGUGAACAUCAGAGUUCUCCCGCAGAGGCUGGAACCUGCAUGGCAGCCCAAUUGCAGGGUCAGGUAUGCUGGCUGCCCUUCUCCACCCCUAACCUGUUUGUGGACAAAUCGUUAAACUCCACGUCCCAAAUGACCUCAGUAUUUCAGCCUGACCCUCAACUCCCUCUUUACUGAAGCGCUAACGAUAAAAGAUAUUGUGGAGUGAGUCUUUAUCUUAGCUGAUAUACUGUGUUCAUAAAGGCUGAUGUAACAAGGGUCAGAAAUGUCUUGUGAUAAAUCUCUUCCAUCCUCUCUAACCCCCACGUGAAAUCAACCUUCAUGUAUCCUAGCUUUUAUACUGCUGGGCAAGGAGACAGCGGCUUGGCACGAGCGUGUGCAAAUCCCUCAGGUGCUGGGAAUGAGAAGCAAAGAUUCAUUACAGUAAUAAAGUUCCAGCCUUCCAGGGAUGAGGUCAAACGAGAGCAGCAGAGGGCUGGCAAAUGGGGGCAGAAACUUCUGUACACGUGAGCGAUAAAUCAGCCUUCCGACAUGGGUUUGUUUCACUCUGCUGAGUAAAAAUAUCCUCACCGCAAAGCAAGAAAUGUCCAUUGAUCAGUGCCAUGGAGUGGUUUUCUACCUGAAUUUGCUUUGUUUUUUUGCUCAUUUAUCUUUGAGCCUGACUGGCAAGUGACAGGUCAUGGCCAUUUCUGUGCAUCUCACACCAACGGGAGAGCAGUACUUAGCAGUGGUGCAUUGAACAGUUUGGUAUUUGCUGAGAGCCAUUCACUGUCAUGGAAGAAAUCCAGCAUUUAGUGCAAGAGCUGCUCCCUGUUGGAAGCGGGAAUGGUGCACUCCAGCAUGCUACCCUCUUUUUUUCAAGUCAUUGAAAACACAUGUUCCUAUUAGUAUGAUUAUAUUACCACAUAUCUGUGUUAUGUUACGGAGUAGAAACUACUGAUCAAAAUGACAAAGCAAACUGAAAAGCACGAGGCCUACCGACCUUACGACACGGUGCCACAACAUUUCCAAGAAGUGGGAACCUCCUGGGUGUGUCGUGGGUGGCACCGCACAAAUCCGAGCCGCACUCGGGCACGGCUGCACUUCUCUGCAGCUGGCGAGGCCUUCAGCUCGGCUCUGUUCUCAUAACAUCCUGAACUCCCCACACAGAUCCCUGGUGAGGGCAAAGGCAGCAGGCAAAUUUUCCCAGCGCUGCUUUCACGAAUGUCCUUCCCCUCUGUGCAGCUCAGAGUUGUUACACGGAGGCACACUGGCUCCAGAUUUCUGCAAGUGCCAACUGCAAAUCCACGGUGAGGAGGAGGAGGGAAGAAAACCCUGUAAGCAAAUGUAAUACGUGCCAGCUGAUACGUACAUGAACUUUUCUAAGGAAAGGCAGGAAUACUGGUUCUCUAGCAGUCUAUCAGUUUGCUCUCCUCUUAUUUAUGUACCCUUUAGCCUGGCUAUAAAGUGUUUAACACAAGAAUUUAUUGCAGGGGACUGGUUAUUGAUUUGCAACCACGCACAUCUGGAAAACAUGAACCAAAUAAAUCGCCGUUCUUUGAACUAAUGAAAAUUUAAACUCAGUGCUAAAAAAUCAUUUUGGUCUAAAAUUAACUAACGUUUUGAAUGCUCAUCAUACGGGUUUGGUUUUCAUUUAUCCUCUUAGAGGAUACAAUAAAACCUCUUAGAGAAGGUUCAGUGAAGCUUGUGGGGAAGUCUGAACGCUGUUAAGCCACACGAGGGCCUUACAGAGAUGAACUACACCGUCCUGAAGUAUUCUAGGGAAGGAUUACGUGAUGGCUGUUCCCAGGGUCAGUGGGAUUCACGCUGCGGUCUCCCAUGAGACCUCCCCGAUGCUUUCUGUGAAUGAAACAAGCUAGCCCGUGACCAAGCAAUUCAGCAAACUUUCUCUCUGGGAGGGAAUCCAGGUUCCCUCUGUGUCUCUUUUUGUUUCAUUCUUUCCCAUCUCUGCCAAAAAUGACGAGUUCAAGGACUAAGCCUGAAUUUCCUGCCAAUUCCUGUCCAACCAUUGCCGUUGACGUGCCGACUCACUGAAUGGGGAGGUGUUAUCUGCCUCUGUCAACAAAUACCAUUCUCUUUGCAGUUCCCAGGGCAGGACCAAACUCUUCACCUGUAAGGUCAAAGUUACGUAAGCCUGGGAAAGCUAUUUAGUAAAUGAGUCCAACUCUGAUACAUGCAGGAAGAAGCAGUGCAGCCAGCUGAGCUCAAACUCAGUGCCUCCUUUCCCAUCACAGGAGCCACAUGAAGGCUUGGCACUUUCACUAGGAAUAUGAACCAACAUGAAAAAUGUUUGCUCAUCUGAACCCUUCGCAAAUGAAUCUCUUCACAAAUUACUCAUUAAUGACAGAUCUCAGCCCAGAUAUCUGUUUUACCUGUGCAGAAAGCACUUGCCUAAUCCAUCAAAAAAACAAAACAAAAAAAAACCAACCCAACAACCAACACCAAAAAACCACAAAGCAAAAGACCCACAAAAGGGGUCUUAAAAGCAAAGAAUGUACCUUUUGUUUUGAGAUCACUGUAUUCACACCAGAUUCCCAGUUUUGAUACUUUCUGCUUGAAGUGAACCCAUGGCUUUCGUUCCCUCCUUUCACCUGUAUUUGCUUCUUCCUUCAGCACUGAAAUAAGGUAUUAUACUUACAGCCAUUGUAAUGCCACUAAUAACACUGAUAAUAUCUUGCAUUGAUACAGUGCCUUUCCUCUGGGGCUCAUACUGUGCUUUAAGACAUCAGAUUUGGCAUUUCUUCCCCAGCUUCUGUGUGAAUGAAAUGAAUUGAGGUCUCUGCCCAACGUGCUCCCCUCUUGUUGCACUGCUCCUCUUUGUGACAUUGCUCCUCUCUUUGUGGCACUGCUCCUUUUGCUGCCAUCUCUGUCUCAGCAGUUCAUUCAACACAAUGAGGCCUACCCAGAGCAAACUGAAUGGGCUAAACAAGCUGUCAUGUGUACCAGAAAUGUUACGGCUACUUCAGCUGGAAGCACAGCACAAAUCCAAGCAUCACAGCAACAGAGUUGUGCUGCUCUCUAGGCUCAAGUUUUGAUAAACUUUAUGUGUGUCAUAAGCUGAGGUAGGAGCAGAGAAUGUUGGUGGCAUUGUUAGAGGAGAAUUACACUGCAGAAUGGAAUGAGAGUGGCAUAAACAGAAAAAUAUGGGGAGUUUGGAUGAAAGAGGAACAAAAUAGUUAAAUCAUGGCUCAUAUGUUUAUAUCUGUUAUCAGGGCAGAUAGAAAUGCACCUGCAUGGAAGAGAAAUAGUUUGCAAACAAGGCAGUGAUGUUCUAGUAACACUGCGAGCUUUGACACGUGGGUGAAUCAUUCCCAUCAGCCAGAAUCCUUGCACAGAAGACCCAGCUUUAUCAUGCAUCAAUCUCUCAUCAUCAUUAAUUGCUAUUGAAAUUAUAGGCAUUUGCUGUGGAACAAGGCAGGAAAUAGACUGUCAUGAAUCAGUGCCUCAACCAGUCCAAACAUGAUAGCAAGGCUUGCUUCCGUCAUGGUGAUUCCCCAGGAAAAGCACUUAUGUAACUGGAGAGCUAUGCAUAAUUAUAAAGCAAGUCCUGCCCACUUGUUAGAUGCGUUUGUUCCAUGCGUUUUUCAUAAUGCAUUUUUCAUAUCUCAUAAAAGCAGCUAUAUGGAAUGAUGUAGGUGCCAGUCAAAGCAAUAAUUUCCAGUGGGGCCAUUCAACUCGCAUGACUGGGUUUGGGAAGCAUCGGUUCUGGGACUGAUGUUCAAGCACAGCAAUGCUGAGAAUGGGUCAGGGAGAGAACAAAGGGCUCUUUCCAGAAGAAUCACUCUUCUCCAUCUACCAUCUCCAUCUACCUCAUCCCCAGGUAGAAGUUGCAUUGAAGAGCAGCGCAUUGCUUGAGCCACCUCUCCUGCUGCUGUCUAGGAAAUUCGAGCAGCCAACAAACAGCUCAGGAAUAGGUGUAGCCCAUGUGCAUGGCUGGACUGUGCUUUGCCCUUGCUGCAGUCUGCUCCUAUUCACUCCCCUGAAAAACAGCACCAGCUGCUGAGAGCUGCUUGAGUCCUUUAGUAAUAUGAGAUGCAACUCUCCAGGAGGGAUCUGGUGUCUGCUUCACAUCAGUGCUAUUGGUUGUUUUCCUGAUUUAUAAUGUCAGGGCAAACUCAUUUCUGCUUAAAUCUGGAAACCCAUCAGAAGUGGAUAGUGCCCCUCCUGUAAGCAGAAAGGUGGGCUGGUGGGCCAGCACCAGGGAGUGGGGGUGCAAGUGCAGGGUCUGUGCAGGAAGGGAGCCCGCUGGUACCGUUAACGAGACACCAAUACGUGAAUAUGUGAAGGAUGGCACUGCACCACUUCUCCGACAAAUCCUUCUGUGACAAUAGACAAGCACAAUAUUCCCAGAGCGGCUUCCUGGCUGCAAUCAAUCAUUUCUGCAAGUGGCAGUGCCAGGAAUGAGGCAUUAGCAACUUCCAGCCAUGUCAGCCCUGCCCUGCACAGACAGCACAGUUACUGGGAAGUGACCUGGAUUCUUUGUUUUGCACCAGCUGAAGUGUUUGCCAAGAUCUAAUCACCUGCACCUGUGAAAUGCCACCAAUUGCACCAUCAUCCCACCAGUGUCACCAGGAGCUGCUCUGAGCCAGACAACUGCUGAAGGGGCAGUGUUGCUGCACAGGGUGGCAAAGGGCCAGGCUGCCUCUUUCCUUGGAAAUGCAGCCCCUACAGCAGGGCUGCAGGGAGGAGAGACCCCCGAGGCUCUGCAGUUUGCAGGGGAUGGGUAGAGCAGAGAGGCUACCAAAUAAACCCACAGGGAGGGAGAUGGGAGCCACCAAAAAAACGGCAUGAAAAAGUACAGCUCUGAUCCAGGAGAAGUGAUAGUGAAAUCAGAGAGAUGAGUUGUGUGAGUGUCAUCAUCAGCAAUAAAAGAAAAUAAAAUAUAGCAGUUUCGUAAGAGCUGACCGAUGUCCUAGGUGGCAAAGCGUGAGUCAAAGGAAGUGCCAAGCUGUGAGUCAUCCAGCUCAAAGGCCUUUAUCCUUGGAUAAAAGUCAAAGGAAUGGCCCAGAGAGAAAAAGGCGUGUGGGGAGGAACAGAGGUGAUGGCAAGGCACCGAGUCGUCUCACAGCACAGGGGCCACGCAAAGGGCAAGACUUGUACCAGCCCCUGGUGCUGCCUUCGAGCUAUUUCUGGCCAGGCACAUCAUACGCUGCAUGUUUUACAAAUGCAAGGGUCAGGCUCCUGCCCUGGGGAACGUAAUCACAAGCACAAACAAGAACUGCAGCAAGAGUAGAGAGAGGGGAGUGGUAGAGAUAGCAAGUCACAUCCCUAAAAGGGGGCUGAAAUAAAUAGAAUAGACAAAGUAUUACACGUGUGUUUUGAGUUCUUCUGUAGCCUCUUUACCAUGACCUUGUUACUGAUACAGUGCUUUGCAGGCACUUGGGCUUGAAAUUAUCAGCACGAUUUGGAGUUGCACGUACAAAAAUGUUCUAGAAUAUAUUCCAAAUGGCAACAUGGGCAUCAGCAGCCAGGCUCUCCCCGGAGGUUCCUUGGCUCUGUGUAGACAAUUCCAGCAUGCUGCAGUGAGCUCAGAUUAAGAGCAAGACAGCACUUUGCCAGCUGACAUGGCUAAAUGUAAUGAGGAAAGAUCAUAGAAUCACAGAAUCACACAGUUGGAAAGAGCCUACAAGAUCAUCUAGUCCAACCGUCCUCCUAUCACCAUUACUAUCACUAAGCUACUAAAGAUGCUACUAAGAUGAGAAGUGAGAAAUUAAUAAAGAAAAGUGCAGGUUGGAUAAAGGCAACUACGUUAACCAUGAGUGCAUUUUUGGAGGGUAAAAACACAAGGAAGAGUGAGGAGUUAUUUAAGGUGGUACAGAAGAAGUGAUGAAGAUACUAACAGAUUGUUAGAGAGAGGUAGAACUGAACACGAACAGGACGAGAGGCUGCACAGCACCCCACAGACCUAAACACCGUCUGACUUAGGAAGUUGUCCUACAUUACAUGGAAGUACCAGGAGUGGCAAGAAAAGGAAAGAAAAUGAGCGUGCAAGAUCUCCUGCUGCUUCAGAGAUGGCAUUGGAAAACUCAUCAUUGAAGACAUGGCAGGUGCAAGAGGCGGGACAGAAAGCAGAAGAGGAAGGUGGUCUUUAUAACCACAUCAGCAGUGCCUUCUGCUUUGGUGGAGAGCUGGUACGAGGGAUAAGGAAAAUUACUAAGGCCUCAGUAGAAAUCAAACCACAGACUUAAAACGAGAAGACUCAAGCAAACAGAGAAGAGUGUUAGAAGCACAUUUCUGGGUGCCCAACUGGUUUCACUAGUGCAAAUGUAAAUGGGCUCCGUCAAUUUACCGGGCAUUAAGUGAGUUUUACAAUGAAGCAGAUGUCAGUAGAAUCCGACUUACUCACAUCGUGGGCAAUGCAGCAAUAGCUGAAGUGAUCAGAAGCACUGUAAAGUAGGAAGAGGGUUAAACAGGUGGAGAAAUCCCAAAGGUUCUCUAUGGUUCUAUAAAAAAAUCUGAAUAGAAAGGCUUCCUGCAACCACCUCUGAACAACGUGGCACAGAAGAUGCACCUGAUGCUUCCAUCAAGAAUUGCCCAACCUGACAAUUUCUUGUCCAAACCCUACUUAUCCAGCACGAUAAAUAGGGUUUGGACAAGAGGACAACACAGAAACACAGGGAAAUCACACCCUGGAAAAACAGAGUUUUAAACAGUUUAUUUCUUUUUAUGCAGUUUAAUUUUCGGACUUCUUGGUUCUGAUUUUAAGUAACGAUUGCAUGCUGUCAUUAUCCUCCUUUUUCCCUGCACUUAAUUCCUUGAAUUUCCCAUAUCAGACGGGACAGCACAGUGAAAAACCUAGAUCUUAUAUAGGUCGUAUUUUUUACAUCCCAGCAGAACAAACAGCUUUGAGGAGGAAAGGGUCCGAAAUAGUUAAAAUAAGCAAAAACUUGGGAUGCUGACACCACAGAACAGCCACAAAAUGAACACCUCAAAAGGCCAAACAGGUGAAGUACCUGCAGCAGUUAUUGAAACAAAACUUUACAGCAUUUUGGGGCAUGGGAAGUAUUUUCUCUCUCUAACUAAAAUAUAUGUGUUUGUAUGUAUGUUCACAAAACAAACAAGUACACCUUCUUCUACUACACAUUACACAUACUACGCUACAAAGAACUACACAUUCUUCUUUUGAAGAAUGACAAAUACGGCCAAUAUUAAUGCCUUACUCUAAAGUCCACCUGUGUAUUAUUUGCCUCACGAUAUCUCUAAAACAGGAAAAAAAUACUGUUAAACUAGAAAGCAUCAAUAACGUGGACUUGUAAACAAAAAGAAAAGUUAUGUCUGCAGGGCUUGGAAGUAGUAUGUAAAUAGAGGACUAAUGCCAAAAUGCAGAUACACAAUUCAUGCUUGUACUGAGAAAGCUUGGGAAAAGUACCCAGCAUCCCUAUAUUUAUUCACGUUAAUGUAUUACAGCACUGUGUUUAGGACACAUAAUAAGCUGCCAAAUGAAAGAACUCGCAUAUAACACUAGUUAUAGAAAGUGUUUUGAAAGAUUGAAGAGCUGCAUUAGGAACUUUUUUCAACAUUAAUCAAAAGAAGUAUUUCAGCCCAUUUGUGCUGAGAGGAAGAAACUUGCAUGAAAAAUGAUCUUCGAUUCCCUUCCCUUCCGUUAAUCCACAAAAUACCAUGGAAAAAAUUACAAACAAUGGAGCAGGUUGGACACACUGCAGUACUGCACAAGAAACGGAAGAAGGUACAGCAUGAAAGUGGUACUACGAAGGCCUUAAGAAGACCAGAAUUUACAGCAUAACUGUACAGUCGUUUCUUUUGCUCCUGUCCAUGUAUUAAUGGUCUGAUUACAAGUAUUUAAACCUGUUUUUGUUGCUUUGAUUGCGAUGAUUAUUUGUGCUCAUUCCAGUAACUUAUAAUAGAAUCAAGCUACGAAAAAAAAAAAACCAGAUAAAACCAAACUACAUUAAAAAUGCAACGGGUAAUUUAUGGAUCAUUAAAAACAUAAGCAACUCUUUUAACUAUCCAAUAAAUCAACAAUUGCAGAAGUAUUUU